rnacentral:rRNA from 1 species
UACGUAGGCAGCAAGCGUUGUUCGGAGUUACUGGGCGUAAAGAGUGCGUAGGCGGUGUCGAAAGUUUGGCGUGAAAUCUCCCGGCUUAACUGGGAGGGUGCGCCGAAAACUGCGAUGCUGGAGUGUGGGAAAGGCAAGCGGAAUUCCUGGUGUAGCGGUGAAAUGCGUAGAUAUCGCCUGGAACGCCAAAGGUGAAAGCAGACAGCUGGGAGUGUGCUGACGCUGAGACACGAAAGCCAGGGGAGCGAACGGG